rnacentral:rRNA from 1 species
CCCUUAGAUGUCCGGGGCUGCACGCGCGCUACACUGAAGGAAUCAGCGUGCUAAAACCAUUGUCGAAAGGCAUUGGUAAACCCAUUAAAAUCCUACGUGAUUGGGAUCGGGAAUUGCAAUUAUUUCCCUUGAACGAGGAAUUCCCAGUAAGUGUGGGUCAUAAGCUCGCGUUGAUUACGUCCCUGCCCUUUGUACACACCGCCCGUCGCUGCCCGGGACUGAGCCGUUUCAAGAAAAGCGGGGACUGCUGCUGUCGGGGCUUUCGGGCCUUGGCUUCGGUGGAAACCGCUUUAAUCGCAGUGGCUUGAACCGGGCAAAAGUCGUAACA